AGAAUCAACGCUGGCGGCGUGCCUAACACAUGCAAGUCGAACGAGAAAGUGGAGCAAUCCAUGAGUAAAGUGGCGCACGGGUGAGUAACACGUGACUAACCUACCCUCGAGUGGGGAAUAACUUCGGGAAACCGAGGCUAAUACCGCAUAAAACCUAAGGGUCAAAGGAGCAAUCCGUUUGAGGAGGGGGUCGCGGCAGAUUAGUUAGUUGGCGGGGUAAUGGCCCACCAAGACGAUGAUCUGUAUCCGGCCUGAGAGGGCGCACGGACACACUGGAACUGAAACACGGUCCAGACUCCUACGGGAGGCAGCAGUGGGGAAUUUGCGCAAUGGGGGAAACCCUGACGCAGCAACGCCGCGUGGAGGAUGAAAUCCCUUGGGAUGUAAACUCUUUCGAUCGGGAAGAUAAUGACGGUACCGGAAGAAGAAGCCCCGGCUAACUUCGCGCCAGCAGCCGC
rnacentral:rRNA from 1 species